AGGUGCAGAAUCCGGUGACAUGCUAGGUGAGGAAACCGUGGGAUAUGGUGGCGGCAAAUCGGCAAGAGGUGGAGAACAAAUAGACAAAGGCUGGAUGGGGGUGAUGGGUGUGUCAGGAAAAGUGAGGAAAGAGAUGUCCUCCAUUGAAAAGGUGCAGAAUCCGGUGACAUGCUAGGUGAGGAAACCGUGGGAGAUGGUGGCGGCAAAUCGGCAAGAGGUGGGGAACGAAUAGAGAAAGGCUGGAUGGGGGCGAUGGGUGUGUCAGGAAAAGUGAGGAAAGAGAUAUCCUCCAUUGAUCUCCUCUGCCAUCGCAAACUGCCAUUCAGGAUGAACAACAGCCUGACGAUAAGUAGUCGGCUCAAGAACAGCAGCACCAGCGGUGGGAAAUUCAAGGCGAUCAACAGGCGAACGAGAACGAGGACGCAAGGCAUAGGUAGGCUGAGAUGAGGAGGCUGACACAUCCGUAGAGGCAUCCACAUUACGUGAACGACGAGUGAAGUACUAAGGAAAAGAUGGAAGAACACAAGGAGGAAUCACCGAGGUAGAAUCGGGGGGUGGAGACAAAUAAGCCACCGGAGAUGAAGGUGCAGAAUCCGGUGACAUGCUAGGUGAGGAAACCAUGGGAUAUGGUGGCGGCAAAUCGGCAGGAGGUGGAGAACAAAUAAACAAAGGCUGGAUGGGGGUGAUGGGUGUGUCAGGAAAAGUGAGGAAAGAGAUGUCCUCCAUUGAAAAGGUGCAGAAUCCGGUGACAUGCUAGGUGAGGAAACCGUGGGAGAUGGUGGCGGCAAAUCGGCAAGAGGUGGGGAACAAAUAGAGAAAGGCUGGAUGGGGGCGAUGGGUGUGUCAGGAAAAGUGAGGAAAGAGAUAUCCUCCAUUGAAAAGGUCGAGGAAGAUGGGCGCGGGUAGAAGGGACGAGACUCAUCAAAAGUCACAUUCCGAGAAAUACGCAUCCGAUGGUCGAUAGGAUGCCAACAACGAUAGCCCUUAUGCUCAUCACUAUAGCCUAAGAAGACACACUCAACAGACUGAGCGGUUAGUUUGGUGCGUUCGCGAGGGGCAAGAAGAACAUAGCAAACACAACAGACUGAGCGGUUAUGCUCAUCACUAUAGCCUAAGAAGACAUGCUCAUCACUAUAGCCUAAGAAGACACACUCAACAGACUGAGCGGUUAGUUUGGUGCGUUCGCCAGGGGCAAGAAGAAUAUAGCAAACACAACCAAACAAACGAAGUGUCGAAUAAUCGGGAGAACG
rnacentral:lncRNA from 1 species